UGCAGCUGAAGAUGAAGAAAACCUGUUAGUAUCUGAUACGAAUAUGAUUAUUUCAUAUAUCACCAUCUUUCAGCUGAAGCUGCA
rnacentral:snoRNA from 1 species